rnacentral:rRNA from 1 species
CUUUGCUUGGUGGUGAGAGUGGCGAACGGGUGAGUAAUGCGUGACCGACCUGCCCCAUACACCGGAAUAGCUCCUGGAAACGGGUGGUAAUGCCGGAUGCUCCGACUCCUCGCAUGGGGUGUCGGGAAAGAUUAUAUCGGUAUGGGAUGGGGUCGCGUCCUAUCAGGUAGUCGGCGGGGUAACGGCCCACCGAGCCUACGACGGGUAGCCGGCCUGAGAGGGCGACCGGCCACAUUGGGACUGAGAUACGGCCCAGACUCCUACGGGAGGCAGCAGUGGGGAAUAUUGCACAAUGGGCGCAAGCCUGAUGCAGCGACGCCGCGUGCGGGAUGACGGCCUUCGGGUUGUAAACCGCUUUUGAUCGGGAGCAAGCCUUCGGGUGAGUGUACCUUUCGAAUAAGCACCGGCUAACUACGUGCCAGCAGCCGCGGUAAUACGUAGGGUGCAAGCGUUAUCCGGAAUUAUUGGGCGUAAAGGGCUCGUAGGCGGUUCGUCGCGUCCGGUGUGAAAGUCCAUCGCUUAACGGUGGAUCUGCGCCGGGUACGGGCGGGCUGGAGUGCGGUAGGGGAGACUGGAAUUCCCGGUGUAACGGUGGAAUGUGUAGAUAUCGGGAAGAACACCAAUGGCGAAGGCAGGUCUCUGGGCCGUUACUGACGCUGAGGAGCGAAAGCGUGGGGAGCGAACAGGAUUAGAUACCCUGGUAGUCCACGCCGUAAACGGUGGAUGCUGGAUGUGGGGCCCGUUCCACGGGUUCCGUGUCGGAGCUAACGCGUUAAGCAUCCCGCCUGGGGAGUACGGCCGCAAGGCUAAAACUCAAAGAAAUUGACGGGGGCCCGCACAAGCGGCGGAGCAUGCGGAUUAAUUCGAUGCAACGCGAAGAACCUUACCUGGGCUUGACAUGUUCCCGACAGCCGUAGAGAUAUGGCCUCCCUUCGGGGCGGGUUCACAGGUGGUGCAUGGUCGUCGUCAGCUCGUGUCGUGAGAUGUUGGGUUAAGUCCCGCAACGAGCGCAACCCUCGCCCUGUGUUGCCAGCACGUCAUGGUGGGAACUCACGGGGGACCGCCGGGGUCAACUCGGAGGAAGGUGGGGAUGACGUCAGAUCAUCAUGCCCCUUACGUCCAGGGCUUCACGCAUGCUACAAUGGCCGGUACAACGGGAUGCGACACGGCGACGUGGAGCGGAUCCCUGAAAACCGGUCUCAGUUCGGAUUGGAGUCUGCAACCCGACUCCAUGAAGGCGGAGUCGCUAGUAAUCGCGGAUCAGCAACGCCGCGGUGAAUGCGUUCCCGGGCCUUGUACACACCGCCCGUCAAGUCAUGAAAGUGGGUAGCACCCGAAGCCGGUGGCCUAACCCUUUGUGGAUGGAGCCGUCUAAGGUGAGACUCGUGAUUGGGACUAAGUCGUAACAAGGUAGCCGUACCGGAAGGUGCGGCUG